CUGUGUCCUUCGACGCCGGUUCACCGCCUGUCGGUGCCAACUGGCGUUUUGCGGGACGUCCUGUCGGUGGUGCGUCAGGAAUCUUAGUUGUGCUAUGCUUUGCGUAGUGCAGCUCUGGUUUCGGGCCACUUUCAUAAUCCCGCCGCGGUGCUCUUCAUCGAGUGUCGAGGCGGGCCGGCACGUUUACUUUGAACAAAUUAGAGUGCUUCAAGCAGGCUUGUCACGCCUGUAUACUGUGUGCAUGGAAUAAUGGAAUAGGACCUCGGUUCUAUUUUGUUGGUUUCCGGAAUCUGAGGUAAUGAUCAAUGGGGACAGGCGGGGGCAUUCGUAUUGCGACGUUAGAGGUGAAAUUCUUGGAUCGUCGCAAGACGGACCGAAGCGAAAGCAUUUGCCAAGUAUGUUCCCGUCGAUCAAGAACGAAAGUUAGAGGUUCGAAGGCGAUCAGAUACCGCCCUAGUUCUAACCAUAAACAAUGCCUGCCAGCGAUCCGCCGGCGUCCCUCCGAUGACCCGGCGGGCAGCUUCCGGGAAACCAGAGCUUUUGGGUUCCGGGGGAAGUAUGGUUGCAAAGCUGAAACUUAAAGGAAUUGACGGAAGGGCACCACCAGGAGUGGAGCCUGCGGCUUAAUUUGACUCAACACGGGAAAACUCACCAGGCCCGGACACCGGAAGGAUUGACAGAUUGAUAGCUCUUUCUUGAUUCGGUGGGUGGUGGUGCAUGGCCGUUCUUAGUUGGUGGAGCGAUUUGUCUGGUUAAUUCCGAUAACGAACGAGACUCUAGCCUACUAACUAGACGUAUCUGGUAUCAGCAAUCGUGCUACCAGCGAUCAUAUCUCUUCUUAGAGGGACAGGCGGCUUCUAGCCGCACGAGACUGAGCAAUAACAGGUCUGUGAUGCCCUUAGAUGUCCUGGGCCGCACGCGCGCUACACUGAAGGAAUCAGCGUGUCUUCCCUGUCCGAAAGGACCGGGUAACCCGCUGAACCUCCUUCGUGCUUGGGAUUGGGGCUUGCAAUUGUUCCCCAUGAACGAGGAAUUCCCAGUAAGCGCGAGUCAUAAGCUCGCGUUGAUUACGUCCCUGCCCUUUGUACACACCGCCCGUCGCUACUACCGAUUGAAUGAUUUAGUGAGGUCUUCGGACCGGUGCGCGGAGGCGGUUUUCCGCUCCCGAUGUUGUCGGAAAGAUGACCAAACUUGAUCAUU
rnacentral:rRNA from 1 species